rnacentral:rRNA from 1 species
UGCCGCGUGAGUGAUGAAGGCCCUAGGAUUGUAAAGCUCUUUCACCAGGGACGAUAAUGACGGUACCUGGAUAAGAAGCCCCGGCUAACUUCGUGCCAGCAGCCGCGGUAAUACGAAGGGGGCUAGCGUUGUUCGGAAUCACUGGGCGUAAAGCGCACGUAGGCGGAUCUUUAAGUCAGGGGUGAAAUCCCGAGGCUCAACCUCGGAACUGCCUUUGAUACUGGAGGUCUCGAGUCCGGUAGAGGUGAGUGGAACUGCGAGUGUAGAGGUGAAAUUCGUAGAUAUUCGCAAGAACACCAGUGGCGAAGGCG